rnacentral:rRNA from 1 species
UACAGAGGUCCCGAGCGUUGUUCGGAUUCACUGGGCGUAAAGGGUGCGUAGGUGGUGAGGUAAGUCGGAUGUGAAAUCUCCGGGCUCAACCCGGAAAUGGCAUUGGAAACUACCUUGCUUGAGGGUUUGAGGGGGGAUUGGAAUACUUGGUGUAGCAGUGAAAUGCGUAGAUAUCAAGUGGAACACCAGUGGCGAAGGCGAAUCCCUGGAAAAUAACUGACACUGAGGCACGAAAGCUAGGGGAGCAAACAGG